GUGAAAGACGUGACGUCGUGCGAGAGCAUUAUAGUCGUGGAGCAGGGAUGGUGGUAGUACCGGCAUAAGAAGCGACACGGCUGAACCCUACUCUUCCUAGCACUCGUGUCUUCGCCGAUCCAAAAAUCGGCGGUUGACCGAGACUCAAGGCCGCACGCGGACAAGGGCUAGCGUCGGUAUCCAUUUCCGCACUGCUAUCUCCCGGAUGCGGUGAGGAGCUGUUAUCCUGGUCAUCCUCUUCUUUGAUUGUAUUGUUGCCACGGGUAUUGACCCCCUGAACACCAAUCCGACGAGCGGCAGCAGCUGAAGCUGCAGCAAAAGCGAGAGGAGGACAUGGGGGUAGGGCACGAGAGGAUGAUUGCUGUUGCUCGCCAUAGGUGAAUGAUCGAGUGCGGCUGAACUUGCGGAAGUCGUGCAAGUCUGAGUCUCGACGUUCGAAGUGUUUGGGAUCAUCCAUGGGCGUGUAACCCUUGGGAUCACAACGCUCCGGUCGAGUUCGGUAAAACCCACAAUAACCGCCCUCAAGGAUGUAAACUUCUGGAUAGUAUAUCUUAGGAUAAAUGGCGUUGUUGAGCAGGCGGUCUCGAGACCUGAGAUGCUUGGCGAAAGUAGGGGCUCGUUUGGCGCUAAAUUCACAGUGGAAUACAAGGACUACUGGUUGGCCAUCUUCAAGUUGCCCACUUCGACUGGGUCUCGGCAGACAUUCGCCGUCGGCGUGGAUUCCAUCGGCUUCAGAAAGAAGCAAUUUGUCAAGGGCGUCCAUGGACUUCACAUUGAUUGCGCCGGCAAUGUGACCACCGUCGUACUCAUAAUCGAACCGGCAAUCGAGGACAUGAUAGCGCUUGAUCUUGUGUGAGUACUUGCCGCUGAGCAGCUCGUCAAGCUGGUAAAUUGUUAGUGGUUGGGGCAAAAAGCCAUCAAAUAAAACUUACGGUAUCGGGUGUGAUCCUCACCAAACCGUCCUCUUUUACCUUGUGACAAGGCAAAAUUUUUCCAUCUAUUUCAUUAUCUCCGAAUCCGGGCAGCCCUCCAGGCCCAUAAGGGCUCGUUUUCUUUCCCUUAUGAAGAGGACUGACGACACCUUCACCCGAAGCGGCAAUAGAAGCUCGAACAGACUUGAAUCCGGGCGACCCAUCAACUUUGGGGGCCAUGCGUGCACCGUAUCUUCGUGCAUAUUCAGCAUGAGCACCAACACAAGGGGAGUUUUCAAAUUCGCUGUCUUCGUCGUCCAUCUCAUUUGCAAUAUUUUGGUCGCAUACAGAGUAAGCUCGUCGCAUAGGUGCAUUGGCCGCACGAGGAAAUGUACCAGAUUGACCGAGGGUCUGCUUAGGGGGCCCGUAUAGGAUGGGGAAGGCAGAGUUGGUUGAAGCAGUUCUAGUGGCAUCAUCGCAGGAUGGAGCCGCGAGGGGACCAAGAGUAGGUCUUUUAUAGGAAGGUCCACGCCGAGAAGCAAUUGUAUUAGCCCUCCCCCCUCCAAAAAGCAUUGCACUAGAUGAGGCAGUCUUGUCUAAAGGAGGGCGCGAGACACCGAGCCCUAAAGAUGUGCGUUUGGCUGAAGGGGAACCAGACGAAGGGGACGCUGGGGGGCCAUUGACAAGGCUACGUCGCUUACCGGGUGGCGCUUGAGAUGGUGGAGCAGGUGAUUCACAAAAGAAUGACCCGAGGCCAGGAGAACUUGAAGAUGAUGCAGGCCCGCCCAGCGCAGGUGAUGCCAUGAGCGAUCCUGGUUUAAAGUCUGAUCUGAUUUGGGCUGUGGGAAUCACUGACCUCCGUCCUGAGGACACCAAGUAGAGACGAAUUCUUGGAACAUUCACCCAGCUCCUCGUUAGAUGACGUCCAUUGCAUAGGUACAGAUGCAUUGGCUUUUAACAUCCUGGC
rnacentral:sRNA from 1 species